AAGUCCUAGCCAAUAGACUGAAAACAAUGAUGGGGGAGGUGAUUUCUGAUUCUCAGCAUGCUUUCGUCCAUGGGAGGCAGAUUUUGGACGUUGUUCUUAUUGCUAACGAAGCCCUUGAUUCUAGGGUGGCAUGGUUCCUUUGUGGGCAAGAAAAGGAAGAAAACUUGGAGAGCUCCCCCCCUCUGCUUGAUGUGGACCAUUUGGAGAGAAAGAAAUAGGAGGGCAUUCGAUGAUAUGGAGAGGAACGAUCAAGACAUUAAAUCCUUUUUUUUUGUACACUUUUGUGAAUUGGGCUAGGGUGUAUAUAGAGGAACACACUUUGUCUUUGAUAGAUUUUGUAGACUGGCUAGCCACCAAGUGAGGGUCAUGUUUGUUUUGUCCCUUUGUUUUUUUUUUUUAUUGGAAACGCCACAAAGAUAUAUUAAUAUAAAAAAGAAGUACAAGAAGAAGGAUGAGAAAUCCUCCCACCAAAGACUUUUGUCCCUUUGUUUUUUGCUUCUUUGUCUUUGAUAUACUCCGUGUAUGCCUUUUCUCUAGCCUUUGGCUCUUAAUGAAAUCUAUUUACCUAUCAAAAAAAAAAAAACUACUCUAUCCUUUUUUUAUAUAGAUAAAUUUUUGUCCCCAUUAGGACUUGAACCUGGAACCUCCCACAAACCCUCUCCAUCCCUUUAUCACUUGAGCCAGGCCUCAAGGGCUUCCACACUACUCUAUCCUCCUCCUUCUUCACUGUCUGUCCUUGGAGCUUAGAAAGAAACCUCUCCAUGACACCCAACUCCCAAUCGUUCAAAUUCCUAAUAAAAUGGAAGUUUCAAUUUCCUCCUUCCCCACUUUGUUCCCAAAAAUCAGCUACCUAUGUCUCCUUUGAAUUAGAAAGGGCAAAUAAGGAAGGGAAAAAUCUCAAAUAAGGGUUGCUCACCACACCAUCUAUCUUUCUCAAACUUCACUCUAGUCUCAUUACCCACCUCAAAGGGAAAAUCAUUCUCCAUAUCUAUACAAUUGCCUUUAAAACAACCCUUAGAAAACAAUUAAAAUAUGUUAUUAGGAAACACCUUGUUUUCAAAACAAAUUCCUUUUUCCUUUUUUUUUUUUUUUGAUAAGAGAUUGUAUUGAAGAGAAAAAAAACGCACAAGAGUACACAGGGGUAUACAAUGAGCUAAAAAUACAAAAACUAAAAACAAGGGGGAAAAUAAAAAACAACUCCUUCCCUCAAGAAGAACCCAACCAAUCUACACAAUCAAUCAAGGACAAAGAAAUCCCAUGAAUGCACACCCGAACAAAUUCUUAGAUCUCCUUGCACAUUCUCCACAAAAUGAUGCAGGGUGCUAUAUAAAGGCUUCAAAACUCUAUCUUUCUCCACUAAUUAUAAUAAGGCAUCUCCAAAUGCUUUUAAAAAAAGUUUCUCCAAUCAAUUUCAAAGAGUUUUAACCAUGGCUUUUUCAAAAGCCCUCCUUAAAAUAUUUAUUCUUUAAAAAGUGUUAUUUAUCCUUUAUGAGAAUAUUUCCUAGGAUAUUUCUAAUCAUAGAAUGUACCUAACACAUGUCAAGGUUAAGAUAUAGGUAAGAUUAAACAUGCGUCACUAUCUAAUUCACUUCUUAAACCCCCUCAAGAAACCAAGGGCAAAAUGGUCUCUCCUCAAAAUUAUGAGACAGAGCAUGCAACUAGUUCAAUUGGUACUCCUUACUCUAGCUAUUAGGCCAAGACCCUCAAGCAGUACAACUUUUGAUGAAGGUUAUAUAUAUGCAACACUUCAGGACCAAAUGCUCCGAGACUUCCCAACCCUGCCACAAAUCCAAGCAGACAUUAAACAUUAAAAUGCAUGAAAUACAUGGUGUCUAAUUGACCCUGCUACAUUUCAUGCAUAUUGUCCAAAAGGCCCCACCUUAAUAGCUCCUAACUUGUUGAUUUGCAAGCUCAUCUUCUUUUUUUCACCCUACCAAAUGUUCUUUGGCCAUCACCACAUAUUUCUUAGUCAACACCACAUUUGAUGAAUUAUUAGGCCAAACCAUUAAUGAUGAUAAUAACUUUGCUAGAAGAAAGACAUCUAGGUUGAGCAUAGUGGUUGAAUCCGCUGAAAAUGUCGAUUUGAUGUCAAUUUUAAAUCCUUUGAGAUCUCGAUGGAGAAGGUCAAAGGCAAAGUGAGUGGAAAGGUGUUGGAGAGGGGCCGUGGUGUUUCUUUCUAGACUAGGUUCAUUGAAAAAGGCCUUGCCUUGUUGGAUGGCGUAGAGGUGUGCUAUCAAGACACCAAUCAAAAGCUUUCUAGGAUGGAUUGGAAGGAGUUGGAUGGCAUAGAGAUGUGUUAUCAAGACACCAAUCAAAAGCUUUAUAGGAUAGAUGGGAAGGAGAGGGAGACGGAUUACAAGUUGGAAUUGCAAAGAAAUAGAGUGGGGAGGUUCUUGUAGUGCUCUGUUGUUUUGAUGGAAGCAAAGAGAAUCACCCUGAUGUUC
rnacentral:lncRNA from 1 species